rnacentral:snRNA from 1 species
UUAGCAUCUUGGCCUUUUAGCUAAGAACAAGCAUUUUUGGCACCAAGGGGAGGGUGUCAGAGCUGGCUCUGGCCCUCCCAGUGCUAGCCUGGUAUUACAGUGCCUCCAGUUCUAGUGCCACUUCU